CCAGAGGCUGAGCCCAGGCAGGAGAAGGAGGCGGCUUCGGAGAGAGAGGAAAAGGAGGUGGAGCAGCUGGAGCACUUGAGAGACGAACUGAAGAAGGUGACAGAGACGCUGGGGGAGCAGCUCAGGAGGGAGGGCUGACCCCUACCUCAUUCCCUCCUUCCUCCUGACACACCCUGUGGCUUAGGACUGUUGACCCCGAAGCCUCCACCUCACCUAGCACCCCACGCCACCCCUACCCAAACAGGGGAGGAGGCGGACGUGCCUUGGAACCACACCCAAGGAGGUGAGUCUGAGCUGGGCCGGGGGCUGGGCUCAGCCCUGACACAGGAAGCACCCCCACACCUAUGCACUCCCACUCCAACCCUUCUGAGUGAAUAAAGCACAAAGAAACGCACCCUGCCUCUGUGAACAGCACUUGAUGUGACAGGGACGGGCCCCAGAAGGACCCGGAGGACUGGGAAGACAAGAUCAGUCUGGUCUCUGGUUGUCAGAACUAGGGUUUUGUUUAUUAAACUGGAAAUUAUAUUAACAAUGAAACAAAUCAGACGGGGUCGGGGUCGUCAGGAAGAGGUUUUGAGGCUGGGGUGGGAGGCAGCCGGGUUUGGCUGCAGCUGCUGUGAACCACAAUGUCGUCGUAUUCAUCCUGGGGGCAAAGGGGACCAGGCAGAGGGGCUCAGGCAGCUGUCACUUUGCCCACCACCCAUGUCCUCAUAGAGCACCCUAAGAAUUGGGUCUCGCCUCAAAGCCCAAGUUCCCCUGCUCCUGGCUCAACCUCCCAGUUUCCUAGCUCUCAGAACUCCAUCUUCUUUUCUUUUCUUUCUUUCUUUUUUUUUUUUUUUUUAAGAUGGAGUCUCGCCCUGUCGCCCAGGCUGGAAUGCAGUGGCGUGAUCUAGGUUCACUGCAACCUCCACCUCCAAGGUUCAAGCAAUUCUCCUACCUCAGCCUCCCAAGUAGCUGGGAUUAUAGGCAUGCGCCACCACGCCCAGCUAAUUUUUGUAUUUUUAGUAGAGACAGGGUCUUGCCAUGUUGGCCAGGCUGGUCUCGAACUCCUGACCUCGUGAUCCGCCCGCCUCGGCCUCCCAAAGUGCUGGGAUUACAGGCGUGAGCCACCACACCUGGCCAGAACUCCAUUUUCAAGGUCAUUUCUACAGACCAAUUUCUAGCCAGCCGCCACUCCAGAGUUUCGGCAACUGAGCUGGGCCUCCUCCACCCCUUCCCUCUGCCUUUACCCAAAUUCCUCCGCACCCAUCAUUCAGCACCGCGCCUUGCCCAAGGACAGAUCUGUAUUGCUGGGUUCUCUGACUAUAUCUCUCCCCACCGCUGGCUCGGGUCCUGCCCCAGCACUGCCGGUGUUCAAAUCACUGCCACCCAAGGUUUUCUUUUCGCAGUGUGAGUUCUCCAAUUCUUGCUGCCUAAAAUCACCCCCAGCGCUGCCACCCACCCCCGCUGUGUUCACCAAUCACUGCGACCAACGUCUUUUCUCCACCCCUGCCUGAGUUCUACCUUUGCCACUGCCUUAGUUUUUCAGCCACUUCUGCCCAAGCUCUUCCCACCACCCCUGUCCAGGUCUCUCCUGACUAGUGCCCCGUGUCACUGGCGCUGCUGCCUGAGUUCUCUAACAGCAGCCCAAGGUCGGUGCCUAAUUAUCUUCUUGGGCUUCUUGCCUGCCGGUCUAUCCUGACCCCCCAGCUGGGCUGCCCUGUCUCUCCUCCUGACUCACGCCCUCGUCUCCGCUGUCGCUGUCGCUACUGCUGCUGCAGGGGCCGGAUUUCUCGUCCUCGCCCUCGGGCUCAGGGGCUCCGUGUGCACGGAGGAGGCGGGCGAGGAUGGGGUUGGGCCGGAGCAUGGCACUGCCGAGUGGGGUGCGGCCGCCGUACAUGCGGGCAGCAGGGUUCGCGCCUGCCCUCAGGAGAAGCUCCAGCACAUCGGCCGCCUGGGCCUCCACUGCCAAAUGAAGGGGGCUCCGGCCGCACGUGGGCU
rnacentral:lncRNA from 1 species